GAUGAACGCUGGCGGCGUGCCUAAUACAUGCAAGUCGAGCGAACGGACGAGAAGCUUGCUUCUCUGAUGUUAGCGGCGGACGGGUGAGUAACACGUGGAUAACCUACCUAUAAGACUGGGAUAACUUCGGGAAACCGGAGCUAAUACCGGAUAAUAUUUUGAACCGCAUGGUUCAAAAGUGAAAGACGGUCUUGCUGUCACUUAUAGAUGGAUCCGCGCUGCAUUAGCUAGUUGGUAAGGUAACGGCUUACCAAGGCAACGAUGCAUAGCCGACCUGAGAGGGUGAUCGGCCACACUGGACCUGAGACACGGUACAGACUCCUACGGGAGGCAGCAGUAGGGAAUCUUACGCAAUGGGCGAAAGCCUGACGGAGCAACGCCGCGUGAGUGAUGAAGGUCUUCGGAUCGUAAAACUCUGUUAUUAGGGAAGAACAUAUGUGUAAGUAACUGUGCACAUCUUGACGGUACCUAAUCAGAAAGCCACGGCUAACUACGUG
rnacentral:rRNA from 1 species